CACAACUAGCCAAUUUCCAAAUAAUCUCAAAAUAAUUUUCCAUAUUGCAUGUGAAUAAUCCAUAUUCACAAAAGAAUCCAUAUCCACAAGUGAGUUAUGGCCCUUGAUGACAUGAAGAAUUAGAUUACUCAGGCCUUCUUUUCUGAAGAUGUAGAUUUGGAUGCAUUUUUAAAAUUAAGGGGAAAUUUUUUAAGGAGAAAUUUGAAAACCAAGAUGGGAGAAGAAUCUCAGUUUUUUAAUUCAUAUAUAAAGCUAUGCAUGAAGAGUAAUAUUGUUUUUAUGCUAUCCUUGUAAUUUACUGGACAAUCCGUGGCCUGUUAGUCAAUGUUUCAGAGAUAUUUUUUUUUUACUGAAAGAGAAAUAGAAUGUCCAAGGGCAGGCAAAAAAGCAAUGGGAGCAAAAGUGACUUCUGAUUUCCCACUGGUUUCCCUACUGAGUUUCCUUGUGGGAAUCUGGUAAGGGGCAUUGAAACUAUCCCCUUCCCUUCCCCUUCCAUUUUCCCUUCCCUCUUCUUUCCUACAAUACCCUACCCUAUCCUUUCUGUCAUAUUAGCAAGUGGCUGCUGUUGAGUGGAGAAGAGAAGGAAGGAUUGUAAGAUUGGCUGGAAGCUAUUGUGGAAUGUUGCAAAUGAAGAUCACAUGACUACAGCAGUUGCACAGCAGCAGCCAAUAGCACUGGAACAGCCACAACUUGCCCAAAUUUCAUUUCCUCAGGAGUCAGGAGUCCCAGAUUUUGGAUAUAUUCUAGCUUCGUAUACCUUUGACUGAAGAUCAGUACACUCCUCCUAUCUGGAAUGGUUAUCCUCAUCUAUCAAGCACAUAAGGACAUACAUGGAGCAGUCAAGGACGAAAGGGACAUCCACCCAUCUAAUUCAACUAGAUCAGCUGAAUCAACCCAGAUGAUCAGUGGGGAGAAAAAUGCCAAGACUUGGAAAGAAGCCAAUAAAGCACUAAUAUCUAAAGUGGGACAAGAUUUAAAUUUUAUCAAGAAACUAUAGACUGAUAU